rnacentral:rRNA from 1 species
CUGAUGAGCACGCCGCGUGAGUGAGAGGUUUUCGGAUCGUAAAGCUCUGUUGUUGGUGAAGAAGGAUAGAGGUAGUAACUGGCCUUUAUUUGACGGUAAUCAACCAGAAAGUCACGGCUAACUACGUGCCAGCAGCCGCGGUAAUACGUAGGUGGCAAGCGUUGUCCGGAUUUAUUGGGCGUAAAGCGAGCGCAGGCGGAAGAAUAAGUCUGAUGUGAAAGCCCUCGGCUUAACCGAGGAACUGCAUCGGAAACUGUUUUUCUUGAGUGCAGAAGAGGAGAGUGGAACUCCAUGUGUAGCGGUGGAAUGCGUAGAUAUAUGGAAGAACACCAGUGGCGAAGGCGGCUCUCUGGUCUGCAACUGACGCUGAGGCUCGAAAGCAUGGGUAGCGAACA